CAUAUUUUGACUCAAAUUGCAUCAUAUGUUAAUUGUUAUGACUGAUUUUUAUUUAGGUUUUGUCUGUGUGAAAGCGUUUUGUUUCGCAAAAAAUGCAUGGAUCAAAUUACAUACGUGCAACGCACUUUGCAACGGGUCACUGAAGACGAACCAUAAUAUUUGAAAAAAGAACUUUAUGUCAGUUGGAUUUUGAAGAACAACAAUUAGAAAAACCAUGAAUAAUGAUUGAGUCGACCUAGAAUUUUACGUUUAAAAAAUGUUAGGAAAUUCAACAGGAACCUUCGCUUUAAACGCAACAACCGAUACAUACAACGAAUUGUAUAAUGAGACAAAACAUACGUCUUACUAUGACAUGUUUAAUGGGACAACAAAUACGUCUUACCAUGACAUGUUUAAUGGGACAACAAAUACGUCUUACCAUGACAUGUUUAAUGGGACAACAAAUACGUCUUACCAUGACAUGUUUAAUGGGACAACAAAUACGUCUUACCAUGACAUGUUUAAUGGGACAACAAAUCCAUCUUACUUAGUAAAUAUGACCAUUACUACCGAAUAUGGUUACCUUUUGACCACUGAACAACCAAACGCGCACAAAGAUCUGAUUUGGAUAUUACCAGCCUUCCUUGGAAUAGUUUGUUUUCUAUUCGGGGUCGCAUGUGUUCUGUUUUACACUAUAAAAUAUUGUGAAAUAUGUAUAUUGCGAUUUUUAUACAAAUGUUGUGGCUGUUGUGGUCCUCCUACUGAAAAAGGACAGAAAACUAGGCAAAGUUAUACUGAGUUACAAGAAAGAGAAGACAUAGCAGAUGAAAUCGAUGCAAUGUAUAUGAAAGAUAUCAUCGAAUCUGCUGGAUCUUUCGGAACAAUCGAUAGAUUAGAUGAUGAUGAAAUAUUUUCACAAGAAAGGGAGAAAUCAUAAACAGACUCUGCCUUAUUGAAAUAUUCUCUAACAUGGCCAAAGAUAAUCAAAGCAAUCUCAUUUUUACCAAUAAAUAUUUUUUAAUUUUCAA